rfam:Oryza glaberrima chromosome 4 Oglab04_0310_1, whole genome shotgun sequence.
AAUAAGCGCAGCCAUGAAUUUCCGUGCUCAAGUUUGAUCGUUCAUCUUAUUUGAAUUUUUUUAUAAUUAGUAUUUUUAUUGUAAUUAGAUUAUAAAAUAUGAAUAGUACUUUAUGCGUGAAUUAUAUUUUUUAAUUUUUUCAAAAAAAAUUAAAUAAGACGGACGAUCAAAUUUAGACAUGGAAACUCGUGACUGUGCUUAUU